CUGCUCAAUGAUUUUUUAAAUUGCUGUGGUAUUUUGACUAUACAAAGGUAUUGUAAUAAGACUUUAAUUGAGUGCUAAGAGAAUGGAUUUUCAAAAAAAAGCUUUUUUAAAUUUAAUAACUAAAUUUAUUUUUAUUUGUGAAGAAACAAUAAUAAAAAUUAAGGACAAGAAGACCCUAUGAAUUUUGAUAAAUUUUAAUUUAAAUAUUUAAAUUAAAAUUUAUUUAAUUGGGGCGAUUAUAAAAAAUCAUAAACUUUUAUAAUAGAAAUUUGAUCCAUUAAUAAUGAUUAUAUGAAAUAAAUACUCUAGGGAUAACAGCGUAAUAAUUUUAGAUAGAUCUUAUAGAAAAAAUAGUUUGCGACCUCGAUGUUGGAUUAGGAUACUUUUUUAAUGAAGAAGUUAAAUAAAGAAGUUUGUUCAACUUUUAAAAUCCUACUUGAUCUGAGUUCAGACCGG
rnacentral:rRNA from 1 species